rnacentral:rRNA from 1 species
UACGUAGGGACCGAGCGUUGUCCGGAUUCAUUGGGCGUAAAGAGCUCGUAGGCGGCCACUCAAGUCGAAUGUGAAACCUCGAGGCUUAACCUCGAGCCUGCAUUCGAUACUGGGCGGCUAGAGUCUGGUAGGGGGAUCUGGAAUUCCUGGUGUAGCGGUGGAAUGCGCAGAUAUCAGGAAGAACACCCGUGGCGAAGGCGGCUCUCUGGGACGGUACUGACGCUGAGACGCGAAAGCGUGGGGAGCGAACAGG